CGUACACUCCUACGGGAGGCAGCAGUGGGGAAUUUUGGACAAUGGGCGAAAGCCUGAUCCAGCCAUGCCGCGUGCAGGAUGAAGGCCUUCGGGUUGUAAACUGCUUUUGUACGGAACGAAACGGCCUUUUCUAAUAAAGAGGGCUAAUGACGGUACCGUAAGAAUAAGCACCGGCUAACUACGUGCCAGCAGCCGCGGUAAUACGUAGGGUGCAAGCGUUAAUCGGAAUUACUGGGCGUAAAGCGUGCGCAGGCGGUUAUGUAAGACAGUUGUGAAAUCCCCGGGCUCAACCUGGGAACUGCAUCUGUGACUGCAUAGCUAGAGUACGGUAGAGGGGGAUGGAAUUCCGCGUGUAGCAGUGAAAUGCGUAGAUAUGCGGAGGAACACCGAUGGCGAAGGCAAUCCCCUGGACCUGUACUGACGCUCAUGCACGAAAGCGUGGGGAGCAAACAGGAUUAGAAACCCCUGUAGUCCC
rnacentral:rRNA from 1 species